AAGGGUGUUCUCCAGAAAGCCAUACUGAGGUGGGAUCUCCAGGAAGAAGUUUAAAUGGUCUGGCUUAGUGUCAGGGUCUGUAGCCGUCAGCAGAUCACCACAGAGACACACAGCAGAUCCCUCAUCCACCACCAACAUUUUUCCUAACAGUGAUACAGAUAGAUAGAUUCUUCUUCUUCUUAUUAUUAUUAUUAUUAUCAUUACAAGAUACAGGUAAAGAAAGCAUUCACUGCUGAGAUGCACAGUAAAGCAGUACUCUAGGGUUUUCUAUUUUGUGUAUCUGUAGCUAGUGAGUGAUUACUAUUGACAAUUUUGACAUUUUUCCUUGUAAAGAACAGAAAACCCAUUUAUUUCAAAACUCACUUACAAGAGAAGUCUAAAUGCAGUAGUUGAAUUCUGUCACUAAAUGAUUUAAAUACAUUGAAAUACCUGAAAUACUAUAUAUAAGACAUUUAAUACUAUAGCUCAUACCUUUAUAGCCAAAACUUCAAGCAUUGUAGAACUACAGCCCAAAAUCAUUAUGGUUCCUUACAGAUUUUGUCAUAUACUUAUGUCAUAAAGUGAAAAUUAAACACUUAUGUGUUGGACGUUGCAAUGUUGCACUAACUCACAAUGCUCUUUUACUGAUAUUUUUAUUAGCUGUUAAUUAUUUUACCUAGUGCAUGUGAAAAUAACAUUCUACACUGAGAUACUUUUAUUUCCUUCCAUGUCUCUUGCUCACCAUCUCUGUCUCAUUGUUUCAGUCUGUCUCUCUCUCUCUGUCCUGCCUGCUAUCCUGACCCCUACAUUCCCUCUCUUGCUCCACUCUUUGGGCUCUUGGCCAGGCUGCUGCCACCUGGAUGCUGAUAAAGCCAUCAUUCCCACACUUACUGGCAUCUGCUCCCAUUUACUCCACUGAUAAAUGAUGAAUGGGGAAUGGGCACAGAGGAGGUUGUUUGGAUCACACGCUACAAUAAGGACAGAAAUGAAUGGCCAACAGUCUGCAAUCAAGGUAGAAGAUGAGGCCAUUGAGCACGUCAAGCUGAGAGAACUUGUCCACGAUGACUCCGUUCCUCUGCAGCACCCCAUGGGUUGGAGUCCGAGCCAGCAUGUAGUGUUUUUAGGUCCUGUAGUUGGAAGCUUUCCCCUUCUGAUAGAACCACUCCCUGCAGCUCCAGUCUGCCAUGCCGGGGUUGUGUUCGCACCUGCACCCUGAGUUUCUCCUUCGGACUGUCAGCAUCACGCACCAAUAGGUGCUCCUCCAUCAGGAAACUACUUCCACCUUCCUCCACCCUCAGCAGGUGUGACUGUGAUGUUGAAGAUAAGUCCAGUGAGCACGCCGCCCUGUUGGUCAUUUACAGAGAAGACAAACUGCACGAAGAGUGGCUCAAGACCGAUAUCCUCAACAGGGGGCAUGUAGGCUAUCUUGUGGUGG